rnacentral:rRNA from 1 species
UACGUAGGGUGCAGGCGUUAAUCGGAAUUACUGGGCGUAAAGCGUGCGCAGGCGGUUCGUUAAGUUCGAUGUGAAAGCCCCGGGCUCAACCUGGGAACUGCAUUGGAAACUGGCGGGCUUGAGUGUGGCAGAGGGGGGUGGAAUUCCACGUGUAGCAGUGAAAUGCGUAGAGAUGUGGAGGAACACCGAUGGCGAAGGCAGCCCCCUGGGCUAACACUGACGCUCAGGCACGAAAGCGUGGGGAGCAAACAGG